rnacentral:rRNA from 1 species
CUUGGUGGUUAGAGCGGGGUGGCACCACCCGUUCCCAUCCCGAAUACGGAAGUGAAACGCCCUAGCGCAGACGAUACUUAGGGGGUGACUCCUUGUGGAAAAUAUGCCACUGCCAAGA